GCUGGGCAUGGUGGUGCAUGCCUGUAAUCUCAGUGACUCAGGAGGCUGAAGAAGGAGGAUCUCAAGUUCAAGGCCAUGCUCAGCAACUUAAUGAGACCCUAAGCAUCAGCAAGACCCUGCCUCAA
rnacentral:sRNA from 1 species